rnacentral:tRNA from 1 species
GUGUCUGUAGCUCAGUCAAUAAAGUGCUUGUUUUCUAAGCAGAAAGUCAUCGGUUCGAACCCUGUCUAGUGUG